rnacentral:misc_RNA from 1 species
UCCGGCUUACACCGGCGGUCUCCUGUGAGUGCCCGACUUUCUCGCUGGUAACACAGGACGUGGGUUGCGCUCGUUGGCGGACUUAACCGUACACCUCACGGCACGAGCUGACGACAGCCAUGCAACAAGUGUCUUCACGUCACCCUUUUGGAGUGAGGAGCCCAUUUCUGGACUUUGCGAUCGAUGUCAAGUCUGGGUAAGGUUCUUCGGUUAGUAUCGAAUUAAUCCACAUGCUCCACCGCUUGUGCGGGUCCCCGUCAAUUCAUUUGAGUUUCAACCUUGCGGCCGUACUCCCCAGGCGGGAUACUUAGUGCGUUAGCUGCGGCACAGGAGGGGUCGAUACCUCCUACGCCUAGUAUCCAUCGUUUAGGGCGUGGACUAC